GUGGGGAAUCUUGCGCAAUGGGCGAAAGCCUGACGCAGCCAUGCCGCGUGAAUGAUGAAGGUCUUAGGAUUGUAAAAUUCUUUCACCGGGGACGAUAAUGAUGGUACCCGGAGAAGAAGCUCCGGCUAACUUCGUGCCAGCAGCCGCGGUAAUACGAAGGGGGCUAGCGUUGCUCGGAAUUACUGGGCGUAAAGGGCGCGUAGGCGGACAGCUUAGUCAGAGGUGAAAGCCCAGGGCUCAACCUUGGAAUUGCCUUUGAUACUGGCUGUCUUGAGUUUGGGAGAGGUGAGUGGAACUCCGAGUGUAGAGGUGAAAUUCGUAGAUAUUCGGAAGAACACCAGUGGCGAAGGCGACUCACUGGCCCAAUACUGACGCUGAGGCGCGAAAGCGUGGGGAGCAAACAGGAUUAGAAACCCUAGUAGUCC
rnacentral:rRNA from 1 species